GUGUCAUAUUUGUUUCUUGUUUAUAGGUUUUUAGGCUCUUGGUUUCUCGUUUGAAUUGACUCUGCUAUAAAGUAUAUGGUAGAAACUUUAUUUAUUUAUGAAGAUGGUACAGAAUAGCUGUUUACAUUCAUGUCAUUUGAACUAUGGUUGUAAGGUGUCUCACUGGCAAUGUUACCACAUCUCCUUAUUUCUAUAUGAUAUAAAUAACACCAAACAACAUAUACUUAUGUAAAAGAUAUAUUUUAUUUCCUUUACCAGUCUGUAAAGUUUUAGUAGCAAUAUAUUUACAGCAUUAUAAAAAGAAUUUACAAAAAUGUACAAGUCGUAAAAAGACUACGGUAUGUGAAUAAUUACUCUUCGUCCAGAAUGUAUUAAUUUUCCUAGUAUACUGUAUCACCUUAAAAUGUAAUUUUCUAGAUUAUUCUAUGUUAAUUCAUAUUUUGGGUAUAAAAAACAUGUCAUUUUUCCUGUUGUAAAAUUAAUGCCUUACAUAUAUUUCCUGAUAUCGCAAUAUUUUUUUAUAUAAAAAUUUAUAUUAAUUAACAUUUUUCCAUGAAUAAACUCAAGUUUCUUAUGUAAUCAAGUGUAAUAAUAUCUAAAAUAUUCAUGACCUUAAAUGUAUAAAAUGAUAUGUUGUGUUAAUAAAAUAAUUUGUUUUUACAAUCCAGUUUAUUAAUAAAUGAAAUAUUUCAUGGUGUAGUGCCCUAAGCAACCUUCUAAGCAUCUGAUGUAAAAGUACACAUUUAAGAAAUACUUAUUUUGGAUAAAUGAUAACAUGUUUGGCAACUACCUGGCUUCUCAAAAAGGUCUGAAGAAAAGUGGCCCAACUAUUAGAAUGUGGAACAUCUUUGAUAUGGCAAAAUAGACAUUUUUAAUUCAUUAUUCAGAUUAUUUUAAGAUUAAACUUGUUUGCAAUCAAAACUACCAUUGAUAAAUGUAUGCAAUUGUUUAGAAAACCAUUAUUAAAAUUAUUUGCCUAUGGAAUGUCAAAAAUGUUUGAUCACUCAGGUAAGAUGGUAAAUAAUCUCACCAUACAGGUAUCUAUUUUUACACUUCUGCAAAAAUUCAAUCCCAAAAUAAACAUGUUUCUAUAUAAAAAUUGUGAAAAUAUGAAACAAAUAAAGUAGGGAUGUGGAAUCAUAUCUGCGAUUCUUUCCACGAGUAAUCUAACCAUUAAAAGACAUUGUAUGUCAGACUAAAAUGCUAUAAUGCCUUACAAGUAUUUUUAUACUAUGAUUGUUUGGGGAAAAAUCACUGGUUUCUUAAAAAAAAAAAUCCUGUACAAAUAGAGAAAACACUUGGUGUUUUAUGACAAUUUUAUCUUUUUCAACUUUCUGAUUUAAGUUUUUUUCUAACUGACUGAGUUUCUAUGAAAUAAAACGACUUUUCAUUCUGAGAGAAUGUAAAUUUAUAUUCUUGUGUGCAAAAUUAGGCAUCACCUGGCACUACAUUAUGAAUAACAGAUUUAAUGAUUUUAAAAAAAAUAUUUUGAUGGUGAGACAAUUAUUUUGAAGAAAUGUGUUCAAAAUUAUGAAUUUUGUUAAACAGAAUAGACAAGUUUUAGCUUCUUAAAAAGCUUGUAAAACACAUUUUUAAUGUUCAUCAAUAUAAAAAUAUCAGUUUUCAUAAGCAAAUGGAGGCAUGUCAAGCAUUAACCUUCAAUUGAAAAUAAUAGACCAAACUUUUCCUUAAUUAUCAGGUAACAUGACUAUGUGCUGCACUACUUUUAAACUUUUUCUUAAAAUCUAUCACCUUUAAGUAAUAUUUUUUUUAGUGUUACAUUUUCAUGGGUUGAAGAUGUUAGAAUACCACCUCUUCUUUAAAUUUGUUUUCUUAAUACCAAAUAUUAACCUGCAAACCCCCAGAUACCUUUUAGAUAUAAUAAUGAUAUGGCUUCAACAAGAACAAUUCUGUCCCAAGUCUGACAACAUAUCUUUUAAGAGUUAUCAAAGUUUAAUGUUCAAAAGGCCAUAAUAUUUUAACAAAAAAUAUAGUUGCUCAAAAAUAGUCUUAGGGCAUGAAUGUCUUGUACUACAAAUGACAAUUUUUAAUACUGAAAUCUUGAUAUGAAAUGAUAUAACACACCACAGAUAAAUGGAAUGCCAACUAAUUUGUCAUCUUGUGUACAAAAUUUAUCGUGUCAUGCUAAAGUUUGCACCAAAAAAGUAUUACACACACACACACAUAACCAUACAUGUCCUACAGCCAAUAUAUAUAUCAUUUAAAACUUAUUUCUUGUUACAUGAAUAUUUGUGCCACUAUUUGAUAAAUUGAAGGAAUGAAUUGAGCAUCACCCUGGUAAAUUAUGCCACAUUCAUAAAUUCAAAAUUAUAAUUUGAAUAUUUUUUUAUUACAGAUGAAAUAAUACAAUAUAUGUAUUUACAACUAAAGGCUUCAAUGUUUAUAUUGAAUGUUAAAAAAAAAAAUGUAUUGUCAAUAAUUCUUAAAAAAAAUUAAAAAAAAACAGUUUAAAUAAAGUCACAAAGUUUUGAGAUUAUUAUAUUAAUUGUACAAUUCAAAUAAAAUUUCAUUUCCUCAAAGACCGUCAUUGUGUCAGUCAUGAAAAACCAAAAUAUCCUUUAAUACACUAGUUUUUAAUAGGGAAAAACAUAAAACUUGCUGCAAAAUUCAACUUGUGGAAAUAUGAUCAGAAAUUGAUGAUUUUGUUGAACUACAAUGAAUGACCUCCCCUUUCAAAUUCAAUUAUUCCUAAUAAUCCAUGCUAUUUGUUCUUAUGGCUACAAUUAAAUAACUACAUAAGAAAAAAUCUUAUCUGUGGUACAAAGUAUGGCAGGAAAAGAUAAAAAAAAUCUUAAGGCUUGCUCAAAUUCAUAUUGACUGUCAGACAUUUUAAAAUAUGGAUUUAAAGAAAAGUUGGUAAUACUUAAACAAAGUGAUAAAUGAGAUUUAAUGACCUGUUUCUGUGUUUGACAGUAUAAUAAUAAAAAAUCUUGUUGCCAAAACAGAGCCCAAGUCACCCAUCACCAAACUUGGUACAAUGUUUAGAUAAAUUCCUGAAAGCUUGAGAAACUGGUACUUCAUUCACAUUUUAGGAAAACAUAUUCUUAAUUAAUCAAUAGUUUUAGGCUUAAAAUAAAUAAAUGCACCCAUAGUUAGGCUUAACGUAUACUACAAAGAAAGAAAAAAAGAAAAGUUAGUAUUUCAAAAUAAUAUUUGUUCUACAAGCUCUCACUAAACUAUUUGUUCCUAUUUAUUUACAAAU
rnacentral:lncRNA from 1 species